UUCUGACAUACACAUUACUUAAUAGUCUUACUGAUAUUUUAUUCAACAUUUUACGGAUAUAAAAAUAACAUUUUAUUUAAACUUUAUUCAAAAUCCCACAAACAACGUUUUGUGGAAUUAGCUCGUUUUUUUUCAGGAUAAGAUAUAGUACUACAUUUCAUCAAUAUCAUGACAAGCAAGAUACUAUGGUUGAAAUCCUUAAUUGAUAUCUUGAAGAUCCUUGAAGUCAGAUUUUAUUCCUUCUUAUAUUAAAAUUCAAAAGAGUCAACAUUAAAUUAAGCAAUAAUGUAUUAAUGAACAAUCACCUUUCUUUAAUGUUUAUUCAUUUCGGUCGUGUAUAUUUAAGAAAUUAAGAAAUGAAAACUGUAACUGUACUAAGUUCAAUUUUCGUAUCGUUUAUAUGCUUUACGGAAAACCGACCUUUUCCGGAAUCGACUUUUGUUUUAUCACCGGAAAUGAUUUUGAAAUUUGAAUUUCGAAACGAAGACAGGAUAUCAACAAAGAGGGUAGAGCCAAGAAAAUUGUUUGUUACGCGAUAUAUACUCACUUGGAGCUAAAAGAAAAGCCACAAAGGACAAGUUCAAUAUGCAGGUUUACAAUUUGGAAGUGGCACAGGUCCUUUGGAAUGUUUACAACCUUUCAGGAGAAUUUUUUUUUGAAAAGCAUGGCACAGCAAGAAAAAGAUAUAAGACACUACGAGACAUUCCAAGUGAUUUUGAAUAAGACAAUUGAUUGACUUUUUCAAUGUAUUCUUAAAUAAAUCAAAUAGUUGAUGUAAAAUGGUGUUUUGUUCUCAUCUCUUCAGCCAAUUAUCAAUGAUUAUUGACUUAAGAUGUAACCCUAUUAGAAGUGUAGCGUUUUAGUUUAGAAAGAGAAGUUGUAUUGAAAAAUCUGAAUUUGGGACACAAGUUUUAGUCAAUGUAACUUGAACUUAAAAAUGUGUAUUAUGUUUGCAUAAUGUCCAAUGGCAUAUAUGUCAUGCAUGUUCAGGUUGACAUAUGCAUGAUGUGUAUAAGAUAGGUAAUAAAAGUUGAGAGUGAAAAACUAAACAUUAUACCAUUGUGGUUGGAAUGUGAGCUUUCUUGCCCUGUCUGUCGUCUGUCCACCUAUAUUUGUCGGAUUUUGUCCAACAAAUAUUUUCAUCACUGUUUUUCCCAAAACUGCUGAUAAAGAUGAGUUCAUAUUUAAUGAGCUGCUUGAUAGUGAUGAACUGUGAUGUGUGAACAUUUUUGUAUCUGGCACCUGUUUCCUGUUUGCUUAUACAUUGUAUUUCAAAAUGUUGAAUGUUCUCAAAUUUUUCAUUACUUUAAUU